UUUACCUGAGAAACUCCUUUACUGUUCUUCGGUCCCUUUUACUUCCUAUUUCUAGUUUUUGUUCCUUUCUGUAAUUUGGGGCUUCUGGCAAUUUUGAAGGAAAAUAAGAAUUGCAUAGACUAUAUUUUGGUUCAUUAGUUUUCCUCGCUAAAUAAACGAAAGUAAAGGAAAGAAGGGUAACCGAAAGCCUACUUAUUCUAUAAAGUUUCAUACUUUUU
rnacentral:lncRNA from 1 species